rnacentral:rRNA from 1 species
AUGGGAACGCGAAGAACCUUACCUACUCUUGACAUCCAGAGAACUUUCCAGAGAUGGAUUGGUGCCUUCGGGAACUCUGAGACAGGUGCUGCAUGGCUGUCGUCAGCUCGUGUUGUGAAUGUUGGGUUAAGUCCGCAACGAGCGCAACCCGUUAUCCUUUGUUGCCAGCGGUUAGGCCGGGAACUCAAAGGAGACGUGCCAGUGAUAAACUGGAGGAAGGUGGGGAUGACGUCAAGUCAUCAUGGCCCUUACGAGUAGGGCUACACACGUGCUACAAUGGCGCAUACAAAGAGAAGCGACCUCGCGAGAGCAAGCGGACCUCAUAAAGUGCGUCGUAGUCCGGAAUUGGAGUCUGCAACUCGACUCCAUGAAGUCGGAAUCGCUAGUAAUCGUAGAUCAGAAUGCUACGGUGAAUACGUU